rnacentral:rRNA from 1 species
UACGGAAGGCAGCAGUGGGGAAUAUUGCACAAUGGGCGCAAGCCUGAUGCAGCCAUGCCGCGUGUAUGAAGAAGGCCUUCGGGUUGUAAAGUACUUUCAGCGGGGAGGAAGGCGAUGUGGUUAAUAACCGCGUCGAUUGACGUUACCCGCAGAAGAAGCACCGGCUAACUCCGUGCCAGCAGCCGCGGUAAUACGGAGGGUGCAAGCGUUAAUCGGAAUUACUGGGCGUAAAGCGCACGCAGGCGGUCUGUUAAGUCAGAUGUGAAAUCCCCGGGCUUAACCUGGGAACUGCAUUUUGAACUGGCAGGCUUGAGUCUCGUAGAGGGGGUAGAAUUCCAGGUGUAGCGGUGAAAUGCGUAGAGAUCUGGAGGAAUACCGGUGGCGAAGGCGGCCCCUGGGACGAAGACUGACGCUCAGGUGCGAAAGCGUGGGGAGCAAACAGGGAUUAGAUACC